AUCAUGUAUACGUUUACGUCUUACAUAACUUUCAAAGUACAGUCGAACUUGUCUAAGAAGACCAACUCGGCGACCUAGUUCAAAAAUACGAUUUUGAUAGCUAUAGGUUGGGUUUUCAAUCUAAAUGGCGAUAGUUCUUUCUGUUUCAGGAUCAUCAUUUGCCUCCUGUUCUAUGUCACCCUUGUGCUGUAUGUGGUAACCGUCGGCGGAAGGAAAGUUACCAAAAAGUGCAAGCCUUUGGCGUUUCCAAACACGACAAGGGAGUGCGACCAGUCCCCAAAUGCCGAAGGCCGCUACCCCAAAGGGACCGUCUGCACAUUUGACUGCGUGGAGGGGUGUGUGAAGGAUAAGGGAAGCAGAAGGAGGGAAUGCAAGGUCAAGGGAAGGACAAAAUGGUGGAUCGGAGGCCAAGGACUUAAGUGUCUUUGUAACCCAUGUGACAGUGCACCCAGCCAUCCCGAAGGUGCCACCAUUGACUGUGCUUCAGACCAGGCCUCCUACCCAGCCGGGCAUGUUUGUAACAUCACCUGCCCUGUCGGUUCGUCAGGGGAUACGAGGAAAGUCUGUACGAACGGCCACUGGACUGGAGAGGAUCUAGUGUGUGAAGACAACCCAUGUGACAGUCCACCGAGCCACCCCGAAGGUGCCACCAGUGACUGUGGUCAUGACCAGCCCCCCUACCCAGCCGGGCAUGUGUGUAACCUCACCUGCCCUGUCGGUACAUCAGGGGAUGCGAGGAAGGUCUGUGAGAGAGGCCAAUGGAAUGGAGAGGACCUAGUGU